AAAAAUAGAAAUGUUGCAAGUACCAUAUCUCUGAGUUGAGCCUCUGAUCUUGAGUGAUCCAGUUUACAGUGAGGUUGAUUGACUUACACCAUCUCUAGCAGAGCCACUGUGCCAUGUCCCUGGCCAUCACCAACUGUGCCCUCUCCACCCGUGGCAAAGAGAUCUUCCUCCACAGAGCCAUCAAAGAAAUCAAGCAAACCUUCGAUUGAAACCUUCAAAAAUAUCAUCAAAUUUGCUGAAAGAAAUACAUCAGGUCAGAUGAUAAUAUCCAAAUCCUGAUUUGGGUGCAUAAUAAGAAGUGCUGAAGCAAUACCAGUUAUCAUCUCAAAUUAGAAUCCAAAAAUUUCCAGUCUAAUGUUUAAGAAGUGCUGAUAAGAUGUGCAGAAGCAAUACCAAUGAUCAUCUCAAAUUAGAAAGCUAAAAUUUAUAGUUUAAUGUUUAGAACUUAGGCAAACUGCUUCAGACUCUUAAACAAGUAGUUCCCAACAAAAAAAAAAGAAAAUCACAAAUGAAAAGGAUGUUUUAUUAUGGUAAGGAUAAAACAUAAUAAUGAGACGAAUAAUUAUCUAGGAUCAUACUAAUCGCUAUUCCGAUAAAAUAUAGGGAUCACAAGAGUUGCAUUAAGUCACACAUCUACAUUACAAAAGCUGAGUCAAUAAUUCCUCAACACAGUGAAUAUUCCAAGAACUUUAUAAAUGUAUAAUAUAGUGAAGAUCACCACACUGGUUUGGACUCUACUAAUUCCCACUAUGGAAUUUGCCAUGAAUAAUUCUAAGUUUCAUGGCAAGAACCAAGUAUCAUAAUUAGCAUAAUUAGCAUUAGCAUACCUGGGAUUGGAAAAAAUCUCUCGUUCAGUCUCAGCGGUUGGGAUAGAGGAGCGGGAUGCCUGUUGCUUUGCUGCUGCUGCUUCUCGUCCCAGACCUCGACGGGCAGCGCAAGCCAAGGUGACAAUUACCAAGACCAAGAGGGUGGGGUGGAGAGGUCCAUGACCCACGGCGUGCUUACCAAGGUGACACUGGAGGAAACAUUUUGGUGAGCAGGUUAGGAGCACGAGCCACACACCUCCACGGAGUCGGUGCUGAGGACGAAGUGACAGCGACAGCGGAGUCGUCGUCGGAG
rnacentral:lncRNA from 1 species